UACGUAGGGUCCGAGCGUUGUCCGGAAUUAUUGGGCGUAAAGGGCUCGUAGGCGGUUCGUCACGUCGGGAGUGAAAACUCGGGGCUUAACCCCGAGCCUGCUUCCGAUACGGGCAGACUAGAGUCAGGUAGGGGAGAACGGAAUUCCUGGUGUAGCGGUGAAAUGCGCAGAUAUCAGGAGGAACACCGGUGGCGAAGGCGGUUCUCUGGGCCUGUACUGACGCUGAGGAACGAAAGCGUGGGGAGCGAACAGG
rnacentral:rRNA from 1 species